GGAUAACUGACUUUUUUGUUGUUCUCUGGGUGCAUUCUUCCCGCUCCCCCUCUCUCUCCCCCUCACCCUCUCUCUCUCCUCUCUCUCUCUCCCUCUCCCUCUCUCUCUCUCUUUUAAAAAAUCAGCCAUUUGGGGUUUUAAGCCAUAAACGAUUUUUCUUGUUGCAGGGGAUUGCAGAGGCAAAGCUAGACUAGGUCUUGGAGGCUGGUGUAAGGUGGUGCGCGGAAGGCAGGACGCUGAUGGGAGAGACUGGUCGAAGAAAAGCCUAAAUGGAUUCUCCGUGCUUUGGAUGGAGAAAGAGGGGGGAAGUGCGAGCUCCUUCAACUCGUUCUGUCCGGUGAGGAGUGAUCCAGCUUGGGCUGACGAGAGGCUCCGGAGCCUUCACGUUCAGUGCUUUUUACCUGCCAAUCAAACUGCUACAAGACAACACCCUGAUCUGGCAUGGUCGCACGAAAGCUCUACGCUCGACCUCGCCAGCGGCUGUCGCGGUCGGGCCGGGAGCAGCUCAGAAGAGAAGCGACUCCGCGGUCUCACGCCAGCGCCCCCUAUUGGACGCAGUGGGAGAUACACAGCGCCCUCCCGAACCCGCUUCAGCCCUUGCCCUGGGGUUAAAGAAAACUCUUUAUUGCCCCCAGAAAAGGAAGUGGGGGUGCGGAAACAAGUUUUUAUGCCCCGAAAAGAUAACUAUACUUCAACAAAAGCCAAAGAGAUUACAUUCUUUUCCAUUUCAUUUAUUUAAAAAACGGCAUUCCUCCUUACACCCCAGUUUCCCCCACCCGCAUCCUGGCUUGGUUUGAGGUCUUCUUUUAAAGGCUAAGCGAUGGUACUACAGGGAAAUAGAAAAAAAAAAAUGCUUCUUCCGCUUGUCCGCUUUUCAUAAAAUAACACUAAAGCGAAGAGAGUGCUUCGCUUAAGCGCCAGCUGCGGUUCAGAUACAAGGUUUCCAAAUAUAAAGUGCUUGGGUGUCUAGUGGAUGAAGUAACUCGUUUAUAUUUGAUUAUUAAUUCCAGAAUGUAAUUAAAAGUCCUGUCUCUCCUUCAAGUAUUUACCUCCCCUCCUCUUCCCUCGCCUCAAACCACUCUUGAUCAAACUUUUCCUUCCUGGCAAUCGGUUAAAUACAGCUAUUGUCUACCAAA
rnacentral:lncRNA from 1 species